AGCUAGGCCUAACAUUGUUAGGUCGCCAGCUUCUUAGAGGGACUAUCGGUGUUUAGCCGAUGGAAGUUUGAGGCAAUAACAGGUCUGUGAUGCCCUUAGAUGUUCUGGGCCACACGCGCGCUACACUGAUGAAGUCAUCGAGUUCAUUUCCUUUAUCGGAAGAUAUGGGUAAUCUUUUGAAACUUCAUCGUGCCGGGGAUAGAGCAUUGCAACUAUUGCUCUUGAACGAGGAAUCCCUAGUAAGUACAAGUCACUAGCUUGUGCUGAUUACGUCCCUGCCCUUUGUACACACCGCCCGUCGCUACUACCGAUUGAAUGGCUUAGUGAGGCCUUCGGAUUGAAAUUCGGAGGCUGGCAACAGACUCUUGGUUUUGAAAAGUUGGACAAACUUGGUCAUUUAGAGGAAGUAAAAGUCGUAACAAGGUUUCCGUAGGUGAACCUGCGG
rnacentral:rRNA from 1 species